UGCGUAGGUGGCGUGAAAGUCAGAUGUGAAAUUCGGGGGCUCAACCCGCGAACUGCAUCCGAUACUCCCAUGCUAGAGAACUGGAGGGGAGUCUGGAAUUCUCGGUGUAGCAGUGAAAUGCGUAGAUAUCGAGAGGAACACUAGUGGCGAAGGCGAGACUCUGGACAGUAUCUGACACUGAGGCACGAAGGCUAGGGUAGCGAACG
rnacentral:rRNA from 1 species